CAAGUCGAGCGGAAGAUGGGAGCUUGCUCCCUGAUGUUAGCGGCGGACGGGUGAGUAACACGUGGGUAACCUGCCUGUAAGACUGGGAUAACUCCGGGAAACCGGGGCUAAUACCGGAUGCUUGUUUGAACCGCAUGGUUCAGACAUAAAAGGUGGCUUCGGCUACCACUUACAGAUGGACCCGCGGCGCAUUAGCUAGUUGGUGAGGUAACGGCUCACCAAGGCGACGAUGCGUAGCCGACCUGAGAGGGUGAUCGGCCACACUGGGACUGAGACACGGCCCAGACUCCUACGGGAGGCAGCAGUAGGGAAUCUUCCGCAAUGGACGAAAGUCUGACGGAGCAACGCCGCGUGAGUGAUGAAGGUUUUCGGAUCGUAAAGCUCUGUUGUUACGGAAGAACAAGUGCCGUUCAAAUAGGGCGGCACCUUGACGGUACCUAACCAGAAAGCCACGGCUAACUACGUGCCAGCAGCCGCGGUAAUACGUAGGUGGCAAGCGUUGUCCGGAAUUAUUGCGCGUAAAGGGCUCG
rnacentral:rRNA from 1 species